CCCUUAGAUGUUCUGGGCCGCACGCGUGCUACACUGAGUGGAUCAGCGGGCCAGGUUGCGCGAAAGUGUUUCCUAAUCUUGAAAUCCGCUCGUGAUGGGGAUUGACGGUUGCAAUUUUCCGUCAUGAACGAGGAAUACCUUGUAAGCGCGGGUCAUCAUCCCGCGCUGAAUACGUCCCUGCCCUUUGUACACACCGCCCGUCGCUCCUACCGAUUGAGUGGUCCGGUGAGGCUUUGGGAUCUGAGCAAAGAGAGCGUUUCGCUCGUUUUGCCCGGAAAACUCAGUCGAACCUUAUCAUUUAGAGGAAGGAGAAGUCGUAACA
rnacentral:rRNA from 1 species